rnacentral:rRNA from 1 species
GAUGAACGCUGGCGGCGUGCUUAACACAUGCAAGUCGAACGAUGAAGCCCAGCUUGCCGGGUGGAUUAGUGGCGAACGGGUGAGUAACACGUGAGCAAUCUGCCCCUGACUCUGGGAUAAGCGCUGGAAACGGCGUCUAAUACCGGAUACGAACCGCCAUCGCAUGGUGAGCGGUUGGAAGGAUUUUUCGGUCUGGGAUGAGCUCGCGGCCUAUCAGCUUGUUAGUGAGGUAAUGGCUCACCAAGGCGUCGACGGGUAGCCGGCCUGAGAGGGUGACCGGCCACACGGGGACUGAGACACGGCCCAGACUCCUACGGGGGGCAGCAGUGGGGAAUAUUGCACAAUGGGCGGAAGCCUGAUGCAGCAACGCCGCGUGAGGGAUGACGGCCUUCGGGUUGUAAACCUCUUUUAGCAGGGAAGAAGCGAAAGUGACGGUACCUGCAGAAAAAGCGCCGGCUAACUACGUGCCAGCAGCCGCCGUAA